rnacentral:tRNA from 1 species
GGGGAUUUAGCUCAGUGGUAGAGUGAUUGCCUAGCAAGCACAAGGCCCUGGGUUCGGUUCUCAGCUCCG